rnacentral:lncRNA from 1 species
AUGCAACUCAGAUGCAGUGACAAAACCAUUAUGAUCCGUGUUAGGCUUAGAGAAAGCUAUGAGAAGCUCUUCUUUGGUGAAGUCAAUGGUACCAUUUCCGUCAGUGGCAGACUUAUUCCUCGCUACCAUCAAGCCGAAAUCAGUUGGGUUUAGGCCAGUAGACCGUAUUAGAGUGUCAAGUUCUUCAUUAUCAAUAGAAACAUCUCCAUCCUUAUCGAUGAGGCUGAAAUACGCCUUUAUCUUUGAGAUUUGCUUGUCAUUGAGUUGAUCGGCCAUUGAAGGAAGAUUGGGUUCUGCAAAAGUACAAAGAGAAGAUGAUAAUGAUUUGUGUGUGUAAUGUGAAAAAUCCAUUUCCUAAAAUAACUACACAAAUAUCUAAAUGGUGCAAUACAAAUGUGUGUAAAGUGAAAAAUCCAUUUGCUCCUUAACACCUCAUGACAUGUAACAGUUAGAGCUCGACAUUCAUGGUUUGUUACUCUGUAACCAAGUAUAUAAAAAGCCCCUUUAGCACAGAACAAAAGUACACACAAUAUAAACUAAAAACUCUCAUUUUUUGCACUUAUACUUACUUGAAUGUCUAAAUAUUUACAUGUACCCCCUAACUUACAUUUCGACGGUCGUUAUUGUCAGACGCCAUCAUUAUGGUCAAAAAAGAUCAUGCAUAAUUUCCUUUUUUGAGUUAUAUGUUUCACUUUAGCUAUAUUAAAUUUGUUGUCCUACUCCUUUCUCUUCUCUGACAUCUCCCACCGGCCACCAACCCUUCUACCCCUCCAUGACAAUCCGAAGACCUUGAGACUUCUUGUUUCUAUCACUUAAAGUGCUGCUAGAAUUAAAAAGAUCCUUAUGUGGGUCGUUGAUUGAUUUAUGAAAUUUCUUUCUAAUCAAUGAGGCAAAAUAGUUUUAGCUAAUCUCCAAUCACCAGAAUUAUGAUUGUUAGUAGGCACAAUAUGUCCCAUGCCCAAAAUUUACAUAUAAGUUUCUACGAUACAUUCACAAAUUAAAUCAUUUAGGUAUAUUUGUUUUUUAGGAAACAAAAAAGAAGCAUAAUAGUGUGAUAAUUAUAUGCACGUGAAAAACAAUUUUUUUUUUUUUUUUUUUAUAAAAUGCACGUGAAAAACUUGUUUAACUUGUUCAAAGAUUAAUAUUAAAUUCUUUACAUAUAUGAAUUGGACAUAUAAAAAAACUUAUAGGCUAGAAUGACUCACCGACAGUAAGCGUCGGUGGAACAUGAAUAUCAGCUAAAACUUGUGAAGAGAGAAAAACAAAAAGAUUAAUACUAAGAAACAAAUAUGAUUUUGAGUAAGCCAUGUCACGUCUUGGUGAUGAUAUUGCAAUGGUUGAUAAUAAAUAAUAAUGUAGUAAUUCGUUUGUGUGUGUAUAUAUGGAAAGAAGUUGCUCUGUUUAUAGGGCCAAGAGUCAUGUUGAAGUUUAAAUUUAAAUUAAUGCAAAACUUGUGGCUAAAAAACCUUAUGAAAGGAUAUGAAUAUUAAUUUAGAAAUAACAGUUUUUUUUUUUUUUAUCAAAACACUAAAAUAUAAAAGACAGGAGAUGUCUGAACUAAUACAACAGAAUGACAAAGGAGAACCUAUGAAACGAAAACUAGAAAGCUUAUGACCAUUAUUGACCAUACCAACUGCUACAAGACUACUAUCCCAAAGUUUGUUUAAAAUGAUUGAUAUUUCUAGUUAUUUUAUUGCAACAACAAAAAACACAUUAUUCUAAGGCUGCCAAGUCAAUUUUGGAGGUGCCCUUUUGAGCACGGGUCCUUAUUUCAGCUGAGUUAAAUCAAGCAGACUUCACUUUUCUCACAGGCUUCUUCUAAUUUUUCUCUGCCUUAAUGCUCUCAUAUAGGCUUGGAUAGUGCUGCUCAAAGUAUGAUACAAUGGGUUCAACAUGGUCCUCUUCCACUGUGACGGCAUAGCCGUAGGAGUGAGCACCAUAGUGUUAGCCCACUUUUGAAAAACCUUUGGAUCCACAUUCUUGUUAGAAGACAUCAAUGCAUCUGAGAUGUGAUCAUAAUCCUCUUCUACCUCAUCCCCCAAAAUUUGGAAAGAAUCUGCACACUCUUUAGGGUUGUAGUGUAACGCCCUAUUUUAUUAUUUAUUUAUUUUAUUAAGUUUAGAGUCUUUUUUUAUAAUUUAAUCAAUUUAUUUUGAUAAGUGAUAUUUUUGUUGUGUAUGAUAUUUAUUAGUAGCCCCUAUUUUAUUAUUUAGUGGAGAAAUAUAAUUUAAAUAGAUUAAUGAGGCAUAAGGACAUAAUUGGAAUAAGGGAGAAUGUGUUAGGAGAGAUUAAGUGAGAAACAAACACAGUUAGUGAUUAUAAAUAUAUGAGACCAUUAGAGAAUUAGGGUUACAACAGAAUAGAGAGUCAGAAUACAGAAUACGUAGAAACUGCUUUUGGGAGAAAAAGGGAGAAAGUGAGAAGUUAGAUAAGAGAAGAGGAGAAAACUUGUAAAGUCCAAAUUCAAUCUAAGGUAAGGGUGGGACUAACCUUCUUUAAUCAUAAGUAUAUAGUUCUGAAAAAGGGUUUAAGCUUGUAGUUGUUAAUAGUUUUGAUGUUAUAGAAAUUAGGUUUUGAUUUGGAAUUGAUUGUUAAAAAAGUAGAUAAUUCAAUAAAUUAGUGUACAAAUUCAUGUUUUGGUCCAAGUUUUAUAUGGUUUUGAGUGCCUUUUCAUGUUUAGAAAUGUUUAGACGAGUUUCGGGAUCAAAUUUGGGCAUAGGGAAGUUAAAAAUGGGAUUUUUUGGUGAAAAAUGUCAAGUUCCCGAGAGAUAUCAGAUUGAGCUCGCCAUGGCGGAUGACCUAUUCGCCUGGCGAAAUGUUCAGUGACAGACUGCCUUGUUUCACGUUCUUGCGUCUGUUUCACACGUUUCUGUUUUGAGUUGGUCUUCGGUGUAAACAUGAAAGUUGUUGAUAAUUGUGUUAUCUUUCCAGUAUUCUUGAUUUGAUGUGAAUAUCUUUGUUGGAUGAUUUAAUAUUUAUUAUAUGUAUAUGUUGAUGAAUUUGAUGUUAUAUGAUGUUGUUCAUGAUUGAUGAAUUAUUAUAUGAAUGUAUAAGUUGAUGAAUAUGAUGUCAUUCAAGAUUGAUGAACUAUUAUAUGAAUGUAUAUGUUGAUGAAUAUGAUUUUAUAUGAUGUUGUUCAUGAUUGGUGAAUUAUUAUAUGAAUGUAUAUGUUGAUGAAUAUGAUGUUAUAUGAUGUUGUUCAUGAUUGCUAAAUUAUGAAGUCAUAAUGCGAAGUCGUUGUUGUUGUUGUUGUUGUUGCAUUGGUAGUGUCAAUGCAUAAUCAUUUUAAACGAAGAGGGCUUGAUGCUCUGUUAAUUUUAAGCGAAGAGGGCUUGAUGCUCUGUUAUUUAAUCGAAGGGAACUUGAUGCUCUGUUGUAGGGAGCUUGAUGCUCUGAUGGUACGACAUGCAUAUUAGCAUCUCUUGAGUUGUUAUUGUUGCAUUGUUGAGUUGUUGUUGUUGCAUUGCGGAGUUGUUGUUGUUGUUGUCACAUUGUUGUUGUUGUUAUUAUUGCAUUGUUAAAAUGAAGAUAAUUGAUGAAUUGUUGAUUGGAAUUAUGUGAAGCAUUGUUGAUGAUGAUUUGCUGUUGUUUUGUGUUGAUAAAUUCUUUUACAUUAUUGUUUAUUAGUGUUGUUAAUGAUGAAUUGAGGUUGUUAUGUGUUGUUAAAUUCUUUUAUAGAAUUAUAUGCUUAUUAUUAUUGAAUUUGAAAUUUCACUCAUUCUGUUUGAAUGUUGCCUCUACGUGGGUAAUGUGCAGAUAACCAGGAGUAAUCGCUGAUGUGAGUUGAUUCUCGUGUCGUCCUAGGAGUCGCUCUGAUACGUACGGGAUGGGGAUUAGCUUUAUUUAUUUUCCAUUAUUAUGUAUUCUUUUUAUGAAUUUAUUGUUGAACAUUUUUUAGAUGAAAUUAAUUAUAUUGAUGAUGUUGAUGUUAGUUUGUUUUUAAUUCAAGUUUAGUUUUAGUGAUAAUCACAAUCAGUGGUUAAUCACAGUUUGUUUUAGUUUGUUAUGAAGUUUGUUACAAGUUUGUUAGAGGUUAGCAGAUAAGAUCUAGAGUUUGUUACAUUGCUUGUGCUUCAAGCAACUUAGCUAGAUAUUGUAUAUAAGCUACCUCCUUUGUACAUUUUUGUAUAUAGAAUCAAUAAAGAUCAUUUACAAUUUCAUCAUAACUUUCUUCUCUCUCAAUUCUCUCUCUAAUUCACAUAAAACCUUAGAAUCAGAAACUGCUUCUGAACUGCUUCUGAACAGUGCUUCUGAACAGAGCUUCUGAACAAGCUUCCGCUUCUGGUUUUUCUGCGCUAUCAAAUUGGCAUCAAGAGCCUUUGGUUUCGUUCUAAGGGGUAAUCAAGAUCUUCAAUCACGCAAUUUAUAGAAAGAAACGCUGAAGGAAACACCAUGAAUGGUAGCAGCAGUUUCAACACACAUCUUCCAAUUCUUGAAGCACGUAAUUGGGAAAGAUGGAGUGCAGCGAUGAAGAAUCUGUUUGGAGCACAAGAUUUGCUUGAAAUUGUGCAGAAUGGUGUAGAUGAAUUAGCUGCGAAUGCCACUGAAGUGCAAAGGAACGCACACAAGGAAUUGAAGAAGAAAGAUUGCAAGGCUCUGUUCUUGAUUCAACAAAGUCUUGAUGAAGGAAACUUUGAAAGAAUCUCAAAAUCACUGAGUUCAAAGGAAGCAUGGGACAUUCUUUCAAAGUAUCAUGAAGGUGAUGAUAAAGUGAAGUUGAUUAAGCUUCAAUCUCUGAGAAGGAAAUUUGAGCUGAUGCAAAUGGAAGAUGAUCAGAAGAUUUCUAAGUACAUCUCUAAACUCAUCAAUCUUGUGAAUCAGAUGAAGGCUUGUAGUGAAGCUAUCACUGAUCAACAGAUAGUUGAAAAGAUUAUGAGGAUCCUAUCUUCAAGGUUUGAUUUCAUUGUGGUGGCAAUUCAGGAAUCAAAAGAUGUUAAGACAUUGAAGAUUGAGGAGCUACAGAGUUCAUUAGAAGCUCAUGAAUUGAUGGUUUCAGAAAGAAGCAAUGAAAGAUCAAUUCAACAAGCCCUGCAAGUUCAAACUAUCAAGAAGGAUGAUUAUGAUAAGAAGAACUUCAAGAAAGGGAAACUCUAAGGGAGGAAACUGGUCUAAAGGCAAGAACAAUGGAUCUGAUAAAGGUGAAUCUUCAAAGGAAGGAAAUUCUAAUCAAAAGAAGAAAGUUGAUAAGAAGAAGAUUCAGUGUUUCAAAUGUGAGAAAUUUGGACACUAUGCCUCUGAAUGUUGGUCUGGUAAAGGAAAGCAAUCAAAAAAUGAUGAAGAGGAAGCCAAAAUUGCACAAGAUGAUUUAGAUUCUGAAUCAUUAUUCAUGAUGGUUACAACAACUAGUAAUGAGAGCUGCAAUUCAGAAAGUUGGUUCUUAGAUACUGGUUGUUCUAAUCACAUGACAGGAAACAAGACAUGGUUAAGAGAAGUGGAUCCUGGAAGAAAUACAAAGGUGAAACUUGCAGAUCAUAGAGUCUUAAUUGCAGAAGGAAUGGGGAAUAUUGCUAUUGAAGGAAAGAAUGGGAAAGUGGCAAUAAUUGAAGAAGUUCUCUAUGUUCCUGGAAUGCAGUGCAAUUUGCUGAGUGUAGGUCAGUUCAUUCAGAAAGGAUACUCAGUUACUAUGAAGGACAACACCUUUAAGUUGUUUGAUAAUCAUCAAAGGUUAGUUUUGAAAACUCCUCUUGCAAAGAAUAGAACUUUUCAGACCAAUAUGAAAGCUGUAGAAUUGAACUGUUUAUCUGCUAUGGUAAAAGAUGAAGAUAGCUGGUUAUGGCACUAUAGAUUUGGUCAUCUCAAUUUUAGAGGUCUUAAUCAAUUGGUUGAUAAAGAAAUGAUUCUGGGAGUGCCUAAAACCAGGAAUUUGAAAACCCACUUCACAUCUACACCAUACUCAGAAUCUGUAUGGAUUGAAACAGGCACCAAGAGCUUGGAACAAGAGAAUUGACAGAUUUCUUGUACAGCAAGAAUUUGUCAAAUGCAAGUCUGAGUAUGGUGUAUAUGUGAAGAAAGGAAGUGAAGGUAAUCAACUACUCAUCUGCCUUUAUGUUGAUGAUCUGAUAGUGACUGGUAGUGAUAUGAAUGAGAUAGAAGCAUUCAAAUCACAAAUGAUGAGUGAGUUUGAAAUGUCAGAUUUAGGAAAAUUGACAUACUUUCUAGGCAUGGAAUUUACUGAAGUUGCAGAGGGAUUGAUAAUGCACCAAAAGAAGUAUGCAUCUGAUAUAUUGAAGAGGUUCAAUAUGAUGAGCUGCAAUCCAUCAUCAUCACCAGCUGAGACAAAUGUAAAACUGGUAAUGAAUGAAGAUGAAGAACCUGUGAAUCCUACAUUGUUCAAGCAAAUUGUUGGUUCACUGAGGUAUCUAUGCAAUAGUAGGCCUGAUAUUGCAUAUGCAGUUGGCAUAAUCAGUAGAUUCAUGAGUGAACCAAGAGUCUCUCACCUGCUAGCAGCCAAAAGAGUGAUGAGAUACAUCAAAGGAACACUGCAGUAUGGUAUUCUAUUUCCUAAAUGUUUGAAUGAUAGUUCUAUGGAACUGAUGGCAUAUUCUGAUGCUGAUUGGUGUGGAGACAGACAAGAUAGAAAGAGUACUUCAGGGUACCUAUUCAAGUUUAUGAAUGCUCCAAUUUCAUGGUGUGCUAAGAAGCAACCAGUUGUAGCAUUGUCAACCUGUGAAUCUGAAUAUAUUGCAGGGUGUAUGGCAGCAUGUUAGGCAAUAUGGCUUGAAAAUAUACUCAAAGAGAUGGAGAUAGAGGUUAGCAGACCUAUAGAAUUGCUCAUAGACAACAAAUCUGCUAUAAGCUUAGCAAGAAAUCCAGUUCUGCAUGGAAGAAGCAAGCAUAUAGAAGCAAAGUUUCAUUUUCUAAGGGAGCAAGUGAACAAGGGAGCACUGCAGAUUGUUCAUUGCUCUACUGAGCUGCAGCUUGCAGACAUAUUCACUAAGGCAUUGAAGGUUGACAGAUUCAACAAGCUCAGAAGCUUUAUUGGAAUGAAGGAAGUGGAAACUUGAAUUAAGGGAGGAUGUUAGUUUGUUUUUAAUUCAAGUUUAGUUUUAGUGAUAAUCACAAUCAGUGGUUAAUCACAGUUUGUUUUAGUUUGUUAUGAAGUUUGUUACAAGUUUGUUAGAGGUUAGCAGAUAAGAUCUAGAGUUUGUUACAUUGCUUGUGCUUCAAGCAACUUAGCUAGAUAUUGUAUAUAAGCUACCUCCUUUGUACAUUUUUGUAUAUAGAAUCAAUAAAGAUCAUUUACAAUUUCAUCAUAACUUUCUUCUCUCUCAAUUCUCUCUCUAAUUCACAUAAAACCUUAGAAUCAGAAACUGCUUCUGAACUGCUUCUGAACAGUGCUUCUGAACAGAGCUUCUGAACAAGCUUCCGCUUCUGGUUUUUCUGCGCUAUCAGUUGAGGCCUUUAGUGCCAAUUUUGUUGAAAGAAUAAGUAUUUUCCGUUGCGACGUUGUUGAAAAUUAUUGGAAGCAGAUGAUUUUAAUAAAGAGUGGAUUUUAACUCUAUUUGUGUUAAAUAUUAUUUUGAAGAAAGAAAUGUGAUAUUCUGUUUGUGAUGAACUCUGAUCUAUUUUAUAUUAUUUAUAUGUUGGGAAAAUGGGGUGUUACAUGUAGCAGAGAGGGGUUUGGAAGCAUGAAUCAGGGUUUGGCUUGAACGGAGUUUGUCACUUGUCAAACUAGCAAACAUGGUGGUUUGCAGGUUGUGUCAUAGGAGUGAUAUAAGGGUCCCUAGAUUUGUCUCAUGAAACAUAAGUGAUCUUGGGGAAUGACCGCCUCCCAGGUAUGCCACCCUAACCAAGUGAAGUUGAAGCUGAAUUGGGGAAUGACAUCAUCCCAAUGUCAGAAGACUUCGUAAGAUCUGAGGUAUCAUGAGACACAAGUUUGAUGGGGAUUAUUUCCUUAGAAACAAUGUCCUUUAACCUAGUGUUAUGAAUCAAAGAAACUUCUUCACCAUAAUGAGCAUUGAGUGGCUCAAUAUCAGCUAAAAGCUUGUUAAAAGAGCCAUCAAUAUCUUUCAUAUCAACCAAAGCCUCUCCUUGCACCCUGUCAGGUUCAGAAUUCAAAAUGGUGAAAUAAUUGUGCAGGACAAGAUCUUGGUCUUCCAAGCAAUCCUGUCCUCUAAACUAAAGUUCGCAUGGUCAUAUCGAUUGUUGUCCAUAACAUUAAAAGAAACAUCACUAGCUAGGAAAAGAGGUAUGGUUUGAACUAUCAGCUGCAACAAUGAUGGAAAAAGGUGCAUGCGGAACAGUUUCAGCUGGAUCUUCACAGGUAUUUAUUUGUAAUGUAGUCUCUAAAUUUGCUAUCUAAGAUCUAUUUGGUGCAUCUGAGCAUGAAACCUACAGAUUAUCCCCCAAUACUUUCUUAUUUAAGCUUACCAAAGGUUGAGUCUGAGAGUUCCUGGGAAGCAAAAUAUUACCUGACCAGGUAUUAGGUUAUGUUUUGUUAGUAGCCUGCGAGUGAGUGUGUUUAUUUAGCAGAUGAGCUUCAGGAACGUUAUUAACAAUCUACUUAUGAUGAACCUGCUUGGCGGCGUGAGGCUUCUUCCAUCCCAAGUCUAAGCCUUCAGGCACAUGAGCUGCUCCAAUCUUCUUACAUUGUUGAAUAGUGUGGCCAAUGAACUUGCAAUGUGAGCAAAAAGGAGGUUUCCUUUCAUACUGCACAGACACAUAAAACGCAUAACCCUCCCUUUCCACUAUAACCGAGUCAAAAAGUUGUCUUGACAUGUCAACAUCCACAAGCACCCUAGUGUAGAGACCAAAUAACCUAGCUCUAUUGGCAUCAUUAAUGAUCAGAGGGGUGCCAAUACCAGAAGCAAUCUCAAAUAAAGUCUUCUCCCUCCAAUAUAUAUAUAUUUGUUAUUCAAAAGAGGGAAGAAAGUUAUCUUUUCAAAGACUAAAUAUAUAUUUGAUUUCGAUGUAAACAAAGGGAUGAAAAAUAAAAGUUAUAUUUGAUUUUCUAAACUAUAUAACUUUUAAGUAAACAAAAAAAUAAAAUGGAAAGUGAAGUACAAAUGGAUGGUUAGACAAAAGUCACUCAGACUACUUAAACAAAGGGACAAAGCAAACAAGUAUAGAACUAAUGAUUAGUAGUAGCAAUAAUUAAAGCAAACAAGCCAACCAACAAAAAACUAAUGACCCCAAAUAAAGGUGACAUUUAACAUGGGAAAGGGUAAAACUUUUCGACCAUAGGACAGUUGAUUUUAACCAUGUGAUUAAAUAAUGAGCACAAUCUUAUCAUGCUCUCUCAAUAGUUAAAUUUUUCCUCACUAUCUUCUCCAACCAUUCUCUCUCCUCAAUGUCUCUCUCACAAACCCUUUAGCCAUUAAAUAGCCAAAAAUCCUAAUCCAGAUGACAAUGGAAGAUGCAUUCUGCUUUCAAAAAACAAAUCUAAAACUAAAACAGAACUGAACGAAAAUUAAACAUUCAAUCCUAGAUUAAUUUUCUUUUGAAAACCAUUAAAUUUUAGAUUAAGUCAUAUAAAUAAUAACUUGGUUUUGAUUCUUUUUACUUUCUUUUCUAUUAAUUCAUUCAUCCACUAAAACACAGAGACAUUGUCUCAGAUUAGCAAGAAUCUUGAAUGGAUUGUGUGUACGUUGGCAGGGACAGUAGCAUUUAUCACAUGAAAUUGUCUUUACGAUUUGUUUGAAUUUACGAGUGAAGAAGUUUUAAAAUUGGUUUUGAUACCCUUUGAUUCCUUCAGUGAGAUUAAUAGAGAUUUUCUUGAAGUUUUUCUCUUUAAUUCCAACCAGAAGUUGUGACCGGAAACUCAUCCACGGUGGCGUGCAGUGGCUCGCCGGUGUAGGAAGAAAGGCAUACAUCAAAUUGGGACGGGGUUUAAGUUUUAACUCAAAUUGAAGGUUGAAAAACAUACUUCUAGAAGAAAAAACAUACUUCGUCCUAAACAUGUUUAAGUUUUAAUUCUUCUGGAAAAAAAACGAUAUUGGGAUGGCAGGUUUGAUGUUGGUGGUGGUCAGUGGCGGAGCCAGGAAUAUUGUAAAGCCCAGACAAAAAAAAAAAUUGCAACACAUUUAUAGGGCGUACAUAAGAAAUUGCAAGCAAAUAAUAAAAAAUGUAAAGAAAUUGCCCAAUUUAUAGGGUUUUAUAUAAGAAAUUCAUAGGGAUUUACACAAGAAAUUGCAAAAAAUUUGGCCCGGAGCCCGGCCGAGUGCCCGGGGUCGCCGGGCCUUAGAACCGCCCCUGGUGGUGGUGGGUUAGUGAGGCAUGAAGAAGAAAGAAUAGCGUUGGAAGAUGGUGUAGAAGAAUAAUAUGGUGCUGAGAGACUAUGAUAAAUGUGUGUACUUUAUUUGAUCAAAUGGUUAAUAUUAAUUUUUCUAUGGUGGGAAAGUUUUACCCUUUUCCAUGUUAAAUGCCACCCCAAAUAAAACAUCUAAUAAUAGAAAUAGAACAAUAAUUCUCAUCAAAACUCGUUUAACAUGUCCAUUUUAUAUGUUCAUGUGCUUUUUCAAAUUUUUUGCUGGUCCCUUCACUUUAUCGUCACAUCCAGUGGUGUAUCCAUGACCCUAGUUCAAAGGGUGCAUACUUUUUCGUCCAACAAAUUUAAUACCCAUUUUGGAGUAUCCAUUUAUGAAUUAUACCCAAGUGCCUAUGAAAGUCCAGAUACUCCAAAAUGGAGAUGUACCUGGAUUGGAUGUGGAUGUAUAUGAUUCAAUCAAUCAACAUUAAAUAAAAUUUGUUUAGAGUUCUUUUAUUGAUGCAUUUGUUGAUAUCCUAACAUAUGAAUGAAAAUAGAAUAUGAUUUAUAGAUCACUUCACAAUUUUUAUUUUGAUCAUAUGUAUUAUUUUCUGUAAAUCGUGACUUUUAUGAUUAUAUAGUAUUGAAGAGUAAUUAAUGCUUUUUUUUCAAAUAUUUUACAUGCAUAUAAAUUUUACUAUAAAUAUUUUGUUAUCGUAUCUUAGCCAUAUCAUAUCCUAAAUUUUAAAAUUUUCGUGUAUCCGCGUACCCGUAUCGUAUCGUACCCGUACUCGUACUAUGUUUAUUUGCACACCUUCAGACCACAAUGGAUCCACCCAUGGUCACAGCUUUGACAAACUCCUCAAAGUUUAUUUGUCCAUCACCAUCAACAUCAGCCUCACGAACAUACUCGUCCACUUCUUCCUUGGUCACCUUGGUGCCGUGAUUUGUCAAGUAAUAAUGCAACUCAGAUGCAGAGACAAAACCAUUAUGAUCCUUGUCAGGCUUAGGGAAAGAUAUGAUAAAAUCUUCUUCGGUGAAAUCAAUGGUACCAUUUCCGUCAGCGUCAAACUUAUUCAUUGCUACCAUCAGGCCGAAAAACGUUGGGUUUAGGCCAAGCGACCGUAUUAGAGUCUGAAGUUCAUCAUUAUCA